AUCGCUUCUCGGCCUUUUGGCUAAGAUCAAGUGUAGUAUCUGUUCUUAUCAGUUUAAUAUCUGAUAUGUCCUCUAUAUGGGGAUUAAAUAUUAAACGCAUUUUUGAGCAGUGGGAGGUGAAAAACUGGGCUCGGUUUCUUCACCCUUUUGCAUUUCACCUGGUAUUGCAGUGCCACCUGGUGAACGUGCACCAUUC